AUUGAACGCUGGCGGCAGGCUUAACACAUGCAAGUCGAACGAGUGGCGGACGGGGGAGUAAUGCUUGGGAAUCUAGCUUAUGGAGGGGGAUAACUAAGGGAAAAUGUAGCUAAUACCGCGUACCCUAGGAUGAGCCCAAGUGGGAUUAGGUAGUGGGUUCGGAAAGGGCUCACCAAGCCGACGAUCUCUAGCUGGUCUGAGAGGAGUACCAGCCACACGGGGACUGAGACACGGCCCACACUCCUACGGGAGGCAGCAGUGGUGAAUAUUGCGCAAUGGGGGCAACCUGACGCAGCCAUGCCGCGUGAAUGAAGAAGGCCUGCGGGUUGUAAAGUUCUUUCUGUAGCGAGGCGUUAACUACAGAAGAAGCACCGGCUAACUCCGUGCCAGCAGCCGCGGUAAUAC
rnacentral:rRNA from 1 species